rnacentral:rRNA from 1 species
GCUAAACGCGAAGAACCUUACCAAGGCUUGACAUAUACGAGAACGCUCUAGAAAUAGAGAACUCUUUGGACACUCGUAUACAGGUGGUGCAUGGUUGUCGUCAGCUCGUGUCGUGAGAUGUUGGGUUAAGUCCCGCAACGAGCGCAACCCUCGUUCUAUGUUGCCAGCGGUUCGGCCGGGAACUCAUAGGAGACUGCCGGGGUCAACUCGGAGGAAGGUGGGGAUGACGUCAAAUCAUCAUGCCCCUUAUGUCUUGGGCUUCACGCAUGCUACAAUGGCCGGUACAAAGGGCUGCAAUACCGUAAGGUGGAGCGAAUCCCAAAAAGCCGGUCUCAGUUCGGAUUGAGGUCUGCAACUCGACCUCAUGAAGUCGGAGUCGCUAGUAAUCGCAGAUCAGCAACGCUGCGGUGAAUACGUUCCCGGGUCUUGUACACACCG